GCUUUCGUAGUUCAACGGAUAGAAUAUCGGUUUGCGGAACCGAAGAUCCAAGUUCGAUUCUUGGCGAGAGCA
rnacentral:tRNA from 1 species